GACGAACGCUGGCGGCGUGCUUAACACAUGCAAGUCGAGCGGUAAGGCCCUUUCGGGGGUACACGAGCGGCGAACGGGUGAGUAACACGUGGGUGACCUGCCCUCAGCUCUGGGAUAAGCCUGGGAAACUGGGUCUAAUACUGGAUAUGACUCCACGGUGCAUGUCGUGGGGUGGAAAGCCUUGUGCGGCUGAGGAUGGGCCCGCGGCCUAUCAGCUUGUUGGUGGGGNGAUGGCCUACCAAGGCGACGACGGGUAGCCGGCCUGAGAGGGCGACGGCCACACUGGGACUGAGACACGGCCCAGACUCCUACGGGAGGCAGCAGUGGGGAAUCUUGCGCAAUGGGCGAAAGCCUGACGCAGCGACGCCGCGUGAGGGAUGACGGCCUGGUGUAAC
rnacentral:rRNA from 1 species